UCACCUAUCUCGUUCUUAACUUGGAGAAAGCCGUCUCUUCAUAUCUGUUAAAUAAAUCAUUGUUCUGCCCACAGAGACAGAUCUUUGCAACUUUUGGAUGACAAAUUGCUCUGGUUUUUUUUGGUACAUAUCCUUAAAAUCCUAUUGCAUAAUCCAUUUCCUUCCCUAAUUUCAUUAGAUUUCUAUGUAAUUAUAUAAAUGAAAACAACACUUUUAGGCUUUUGAUUGUUGAUGUCUUGUUAUUUAUUGCAGAGGUGACUUUUGUAGUUCGGAAGUAUGGGCAACAAUAAAUGAACAUUGAUGAGAGAAAGGAGAAAUGCGCUCUAUCCUCCAUGAAAAAUGAAACCCCAUCUUCUCUAGUUGAUGCUUCGAGCAAUGCCGAAACAGUCAUUGCUACCUAAUGUAUAAUUGGCCUUUGUUACAUAUAACCAAACCUCUCUCUCUAUUCAUCUUUCUCUAUCUACCCCUCGUUCUCUCUCUAUCUACGAGGGUAUGUAAGCUGGGGUACCAUAUUGUAGAAAAACGACCCAUGUACUUAUUUUGCCAUUAUGAAUACGAGAAUCUUUGAGUUAAU
rnacentral:lncRNA from 1 species